AGUGAACACUGGCGGUAGGCCUAACACAUGCAAGUCGAACGGCAGCACAGUAAGAGCUUGCUCUUACGGGUGGCGAGUGGCGGACGGGUGAGGAAUACAUCGGAAUCUACUUUUUCGUGGGGGAUAACGUAGGGAAACUUACGCUAAUACCGCAUACGACCUACGGGUGAAAGCAGGGGAUCUUCGCACCUUGCGCGAUUGAAUGAGCCGAUGUCGGAUUAGCUAGUUGGCGGGGUAAAGGCCCACCAAGGCGACGAUCCGUAGCUGGUCUGAGAGGAGGAUCGGCCACACUGGAACUGAGACACGGUCCAGACUCCUACGGGAGGCAGCAGUGGGGAAUAUUGGACAAUGGGCGCAAGCCUGAUCCAGCCAUACCGCGUGGGUGAAGAAGGCCUUCGGGUUGUAAAGCCCUUUUGUUGGGAAAGAAAAGCAGCAGGUUAAUACCCCGCUGUUCUGACGGUACCCAAAGAAUAAGCACCGGCUAACUUCGUG
rnacentral:rRNA from 1 species